UUGCAACUUCGGUAUUAAAUACAGCUAUUGUUCAAAGAAAAAAAAAGAAAGAAAAUUCUGAAUUUUAAAGCAUAUUUAUUUGCAGUAACUAUGGUAUUUUGACGUAGUUUGAGAGUGCUUCCAUAUGUGUGUUUCCUGAACGCCAACGCCUGUGCAACGAAGGCCUGUGACGUUGACGUAAACUCGCUCAGACAGAAGUCCUAAAGUGUGAGAGUGAAAAGAAAAAAGUGUGAGAGAGAAUCUGAAAACUUUGAUUACACGGAUACGAGCAGAGAGGAAAGAGGAUGGCACCUAAGCGAAGGGCAAAAUCCAGCACCAAAGUUGGAGGGAAGAAGAUUAAGGAGGAGCCUCCUUAAUUAAGGCAAGUUCACCUCUGCCAAAGAUGCUCUGAAGGCAACAGGUCCGCAGGUGAAGGGCACGAGGAACCCAUCUUCUGUCAUCUAUCAAAUGCUGAGUGUCUGAAGGAAAGUACUAUUGUUGGACAAGAUGAGGCUGAGUGAGAGAGUUGGGCAAGUACAAUUUAGCUGGUCCAUCUACCGCUGAUGUGGCCAUCUAGAGUUUUGAAAAGAAAUUCAAAGAGAAGACAAAAAAAUAAUUGUAGCGAUCGAGAAAACUUCGUCUCGCAUUCUGGGAAGUACACACUGAUUGAGGUAGAUGGCGACCAGGAUGCAGAAGUGAAGAUGGUGGAGAUGUUAAGGUGAAAAGUGAACAACAAGUUCUUCCUUCUACAGUGGAUGAGGCAACUCAAAGACUCAUUUCAAUUCAUCUUCGACAAUGACAUGUUCAAAGAAGCCAUGACCAGCAUGAACUUGGAUAUUAAGAAGAUGCCCUUGGGGAAACACAGCAAGCAAGAGAUAGCCAAAGGCUUUGAGGCUUUGGAGGAGAUUGAAGCUGCAAUAAAGAAGGGGGAACGGAACAAAUCAUUGAGAAGUACUUGAAUGCCACUGGAAGAAAAGUGCUUACUUGGUGGAGGUCUGGGAAGUUGAGAGAGAUACAGAGG